GAUAAACGCUAGCGGCAGGCUUAACACGUGCAAGUCGAGGGGCAGCAUAGAUUGUAGCAAUACAAUUGGUGGCGACCGGCGCACGGGUGCGUAACGCGUAUGCAACCUACCCGUCACAGGGGGAUAAUCCGGAGAAAUCUGGCCUAAUACCCCAUAACAUAUGGAUCGGCAUCGGUUCAUGUUGAAAUUUUCGGAGGUGACGGAUGGGCAUGCGUAGCAUUAGCUUGUUGGUGAGGUAACGGCUCACCAAGGCGACGAUGCUUAGGGGGACUGAGAGGUUAUCCCCCCAAACUGGUACUGGGACACGGACCAGACUCCUACGGGAGGCAGCAGAGAGGAAUAUUGGUCAAUGGGCGCAAGCUUGAACCAGCCAUGCCGCGUGCAGGAUGACGGCUCUAUGAGUUGUAAACUGCUUUUGUACGAGGGUAAAGUGGGUUACGUGUAACCUUUUGAAAGUAUCGUACGAAUAAGGAUCGGCUAACUCCGUGCCAGCCGCCGCCGUAA
rnacentral:rRNA from 1 species